rnacentral:lncRNA from 1 species
GGACGUCUGCACAGGGUCAGACCAAGAAGCGCAAGCUCGACCAGAGCCAGGUGGAGUGCUUCUUUUGCAAGAAGCAGGGGCACUGAAAGAGAAACUGUCUUCUAUACAUUGCCUCCCUAGACCCGAACAGACCGAAGAAGAAGCAAGGUACUUAUAUGAUAACACCUUGCAAUUUUUUUAUUUGUGAUACUACUGUCUGGGUAUU